GGCUACGAAAAAUUAUAAGGAAAAAAUACCCCUUGAGUCAGCGAGAGCGGGGGCGGAAGAUGACUCAUCGGCGGAUAACCCAGUUAUUGACAUAGGAACGGAACAGACUACGAGUUUGAUGAUCAGCAUACCCGAGACUGCAACAGCUACAGCAGGACACAAGCUCCAGAGCUGCAUAUGUGGCUGGGAAAAGGUUACUUCCACUAGAGGCCUAAAAAUACAUCAGGGCAAGAAAGGGUGCCUAAAGAAGGGUCAACAGGGAUCUCGCAUCGACAGCUACUUUCUGAGAAGCAGGUCGAGUCAGUCGACUGAAGUUCAGCAGCGGGGCCAAAACCACAGUCUGCAGGACAUCAACAUCCCUGUCCCAGAAGAGGACGAACCUUGCACAGGAAACCAACCUGAACCCAGCCCAGCAAGACCUGCAGUGGAAAAGAAGAUCCAGGGGCGAAGGCCACUGAUCAAGUGGCCAAAAUCCUGCGAAAAGGCACUGUGGAUGGAGGUCAACACCGACCUCUGCAACAUCUUAGAGGGGCUCAAAGGCACCACCAGGAAGAAGCUGGAGAAAAUGGGAGAUCUUAUAUACAGCUAUGGAUCGGAAAGGUUUGGAGCAGUCGAAAGAAAGAGAUCUGAACCGACAAUCCCCACUAAGUCCAGGAGGCAGAAGGAAAUAGAUCGCCUAGUCAGAGAGAGGAGGCAGCUGAAGAAGCAGUGGAGGAAAGCCACAGAGGAGGAAAAGGAGGGCAUCAACGUCUUGCAGGAGGCCAUCCGGAGUAGACUUGUGACACUGAGAAGAGCGGAAAAUCUGGUAAAGAAGCGCAGAAGGAAGGAACAGACAAGAUCACGCUUCUACAAAGACCCCUUCAAAAUUUGUGAAGAGUCUCUUUACAGCGGAGAAGAGUGGAAGCCUCUCAGUGUCAAAGGCAGACCUGGAAAAACAUCUGGAAAAGUCCUGCACAGAUGCCAAACGCCACGAAGAGGUUAUUCUCCCAUCUGAUAUGCCACCAAUCAACCCGCCAGAGCACCAGCUAGAUAUCAGCCCACCCAGAUGGAGCGAAGUGGAGAAAACUGUGCGUAGAGCAAGGGCUGCUUCAGCCCCAGGUCCUAACGGAGUUCCAUACAGGCUCUACAAAAAUGCACCAGAUGCCCUGCGAUUCCUCUGGAAGCUCAUGAGGGUGGUCUGGCAAAGAAGGAGAUACCAACAUCCUGGCAGAGAGCUGGAGGAAUCCUUAUCCCAAAGGAAAAGGACUCCUCAGAAAUCGGCCAAUUCCGCCAGAUCAGCCUCCUAAACGUCGAGG
ensembl:lncRNA